UAUUCUUUGAUUAUUUUUAAUAAUAGAACCCUUAUUUUGUGUUCAUAUGAAGGAGUGAUAACAGUUCUGGGAGUUUGACCUUCCACCCAAUUCAAAGGUUAAACAUUGUUGAUCUGAGCUACUGAUGAAGACUGGAUGAUUAUUCUCAAUUCUUGACCUUAUUCCAAUACGAGAGUUACACAACCAUACCCUUUACUGUGGGACUUUACAGUAGUAGGAGGAGAUUGCUUCCCACCAAGCUGACCUUAAUCUGCUCUGUGUGACUUGUCUUGCUAAUGAGGGCAAAAGGCAUCAUGCAUGCCAGGUAUUAUCAGGAGGCUUAAAUGAGCCUGCCUGUGUGGUUUGGGCUGCCCUUCCUGGGGACUCCACCUGCCACCGUUAGAAAAGCAGAUGCCCAUCAACCAGUAGCUCCAAAAUGCCAUAAAUGUGCGGAGGACCUUUGCCUGACCUGCAAUGACUCUGAAGGAAAAGCCACAUCAUCUGACCUGUGGUCCUGUGAAUGAGAAAGACCUCAGAGCAGAAGUCACUGAAAUAUUGGGGUUGUUUGUUUCCCACCAUUACUGCGGCAGAAAUCUGACUUCUUCAUUCAUCAUGGCAACGUUAUCCUCCUAGCCAGCGGUUGGUGUAAGCCUGAACACAUAAUGCUAUUCUCCACCUGCUGGGAAGUGUGCAGGGAAAUUGGCUCGGGGGAACCUUUCCCCAUGAAGAAGAUUAACAUCAAGAAAUGAUGAUUUCUUAUCCCUGUCUGUGUGGUCAUCUAGCCACCAUCUCACUACCGUGAACAGAGCCUGGCCACUGCAUGAACAUAUCCUCAUCAACCAAUCUAAGUGGAGAAUGAUCAGAGAAAGAAAAGGGGCAACUGCACUGAGCCAAAGGCUGAUCAAGCACAGGGAGACUUGAAUACACUGAAACUAGCACUCCUGGAGGUGUCCACAUCUGGAAGAAUCUACCCAACACUCCAGCCACUAAGUUCCCCUAAGUCUCCUCCAGAGAAUUUCCUUUUUCCUUCAGUCUCAAGUCAGUCACGAAAUGUUCUGCUCACAUCUCUAUCAACAUGUAAAUUUUGGCAUUAUCGAUAAGUCAUGUAAUUCACAACUGUGUGAUUCUCAAAUUUUUCAGUUCACUUACGACAGGAACCCCAAAAUCCCAAUUUUACCUUCAAAAUUUACCUUCCUCAAGUUAACUCCAUCUCUCUUUUACACUGUCAAUACCUUCCUCUUGAAAUCGCUUCACUUAUUUGUUCACAUUUUGUGGUGUUUAACGUGCAGCUUUAACUUUUUUCGGCCUUUCUGCCCCUAUCUUUCUCAUCUAGCAACACUUAACCCUACUUUGUGCCACACAGCCAAAUGUGAGUGGAGAAAAAGGAGGAGUCAUACUGGAGGAUUUUAAUACAGAUAUUCAGUGUUGGGAUCCCUGGGUGGCGGUGGCUCAAUGAUUUAGUGCCUGCC